rnacentral:tRNA from 1 species
GGGGAUUUAGCUCAGAGGUAGAGCACUUGCCUAGCAAGCACAAGGCCCUGGGUUCGAUCCCCAGCUCCA